rnacentral:lncRNA from 1 species
UUCAAAUAAAAUAUAGGUCAUUAAUAUCUCAUCAUAAUCAAGGCCAAAAUAUUUAUUCAAAAAUAAACUAAAUAAAAUUCUUUAAGAUCUUAUGCUCCUCACUGCUCGAUCCUAAGCCCCAUAGAAUCUUCAAGAUCUGAAAAAGAAAAGAGAAUUUGAGAAGAAAAGAGGAGGUUUCAGAUGAUUAGGCUCAAUUACAGCAGUCAACGGCUGUUGAUCGAUGGAGAGGAAGAAGGGAGAGGAAGAGAGA